rnacentral:rRNA from 1 species
GUUUUACCUUGACGAAUUGUAGUUUAAAGAAGUGUUUUCUGUUGAAGUUUUGGUAAAAGUUCUUUGGAAUAGGACAUCAUAGAGGGUGAGAAUCCCGUAUUUGACCAUUAUUUUCAGCUGUGUGAUACACUUUCAAAGAGUCGGAUUGUUUGGGAAUGCAGUCCAAAAUGGGUGGUGAAUUUCAUCUAAAGCUAAAUAUUGGCGAGAGACCGAUAGCGAACAAGUACCGUGAGGGAAAGAUGAAAAGAACUUUGAAAAGAGAGUUAAACAGUACGUGUAAUUGUCAAAAGGGAAGCGUUUGACACCAGUGUUGUUUUCUCGAAAAUCAAUUAAAAAAAGUUGGAUUUUGUGUUGUAUUGACCUUAACAGCUUUCUGCACUCUUUUCCUGCUUUUUUU